UGGUGCUGUGGCGCAAUGGGCACAGAGGACGUGCUUCCACUGAGAGUAGUUCUAGUGUUGCCUGGCCACAAUGCGGGUGUAAAAUGGCGUAGAAGAGGAUGUAGCGCGUCGGGGCAAAGGGAGUACCUGGCGAAGGGGCUCCGACUGCAGGCUUGAAAUCCAUCCUUAGCUGCCUCAGCUGUACCAGCAAGAUGAAGAAGCCCCAGAAACUGCAGCCUCCACAACCAUCGUAUUUUCUAAAGAAAAUGAGCCUAAAGUAACUUGACAAGAUGCAGAGUGAGUCACUGCAGGUGUCAAGUCAAACAUCCCCUCCAAAUACCCGCUGAGACAAAACUGUGUGCCUCUGUGAAGGUCCCUGACUGGACAGAUGGAGUUUGGGAGGCCAGUGACAAGACCUCUGAGGUCAGUAGGAACUGGGAAGGCUCAAGGAUUAGAGUCUUCGCCUUCACCCCUCUGCCCGAAGAGAAGACCAUUUGGGACACAUGCUCCUAGUACUGAAGAUAUGGGCACUGAUCACAGCCAGGGCUGAAUCAGUGAGACCCCACCCCCCUUCCUCCCCCUUCAAUAAGAAUUUCAGUUUAUCCUGCCCCUCAGAAUUCUCCUUCACCCACUUCAUUUGUGACAACAUAAAGUAGUAAAAUCAGUUGUGGCUCCCCCCUCAAAGAUAAUCCAUUCAGACGUCACUACAGAUUAAGUGACAGCAAAGUUAUUUUCAGAAAUAAGAUGAAACGCUUGCCUAUAAAAUUGUUUUGCUGUUGAUGGUUCCCAUCUUCUUCAUUAGAAUAUAAUUUGAAUCAGUUUUACUAAUCUGUCUAACCUAAUGAAAUUAACAUAAGUCAUGUAGUAAUAGGCUUAACCCAGCAUCACACUCGUUCCUCCAUGAGCAUUUUUGUCUUUGGGUGGAUGGCCAAAAUUGGAAGAGCAAUGACAACUAGCUUAAAACCUGACUGGCAUGUCAUUCCAGCUAUCCGCAAUCACCAGGCAACGUGCUGGUGGUGAAAGCACCAUGGUCUUUAACUGUGUAUUUGACUCUUUGAAAUGCUGGUCUUCAAGUUUGAAUGACGUAGAAGGAUAUUACCAUAUUUGUCUUAAUUUUCUGCUUAAAUCUUAUUGAGAAAAGGGUGCAUAACCCAUUAUAUCCAAGAAGACCCGCCACUGUCAUUUGUGAGCAAAUUAGUUUGGAAGGCUGUUUGAUGAGGAGGUAUUAGGAAAAAAAUGCCUGAUUUCACUAUUGUAGUGUGUAUGAUUGUUGACUAAGUAGCUUUAUUUGCUUGUAUUUACUUUCCUUAUGUUAUCCGUGCAUUCCAUACAUUCUUCACUAUUAUCGUUUCAUCCCAUGUAGCCAAUGUAAGGGGUAUUAAUUGCAUGAACCAAGUAGACCUUUUGAGUUAAACGUUUGCGGCGGGAGUGUCGUCUGACGUCCCAUUGGAGUUGUGUGCUAAGUCUGCCCUGCCCAUGGGAUGCAUCUGGCCACUUCACCAGCACUGGAUGGCCUGCAGGUUGAAGCAAUCCAGUCUUUUCUUUUAAGCGGAACUGUGCAAUACAUAAUUUCUUCCUUUUUUUUUCCUGUUGCUGUUAUAAAUAUGUAAAAAAAGAAAGAAAACAAUAAUUGUGAAACAAGUGACAAGUUGUUUUGAAACAACAAAAUCACCAACGUCUUCCAUUAAAAGAUGUAUAGUCCCAUGCGCAUUAGCUUACUAGCCGUACGGUAGUGCCAACAUAACUGGCCAUGCAUGAAAAGUAGUGAUGCAUGCUGAAUACAGUAAUUAUAGUAAUAUUUUAUAAUUGUAAAAAGUAGAAGAGGAAGAAAUGGUGCUCAAACCAGUGAGCUGGAGCAGCCAGAAAAUGUAUAAAGAAUUGGCAACUCUUGCUCUCUGUAAAACUAUUUUGAUUUUAUUUUUUCUAGACGUAUAUUAAAUAAAAUCAGAGUAUUUUUACAGAGAGCAGGAGUUGCGCCUGUUCUUUGAUCAGUAAUUGUAAAAUUACUGACCAGGCGUAGUUACUAACCAGGAAGAAGCAUCCGUUUCUCACAGGAGUCUGAGCCUAGGUUAAUGAAUGAAUAAACAAGCAUAUAGGCCUUGAUUAGACUGCUUAAAAUUAACAAUACAGAGUUAGGUCUAUGCCAUGGUAAAAUUGGCUAUCGCUUUUCUUUUUAUCUUGUGUCCCACUGUAGUUUAUGACUAGAUUUGGACACAUGGCAUCCCCUAGCAUCUGUCUGUAUGGAGAAAUGACAGUUCUGAUGUUCCUGUAAUUUAGAAGCCAAAAUGCAUCGCAUUCAUUCAUUGUUUUUUUUUUUUUAAUGUUUUUUUUUUGUAUUAUGUAACAAUAUAAUUUUGUACUGUUUAGAAUACUGUGUUAAUCCCCUUUUGCUCUCACGCCUGAGGGUGUGACAUCAUUCAUUAUGGAAAAAAUUAUUUGCCUUUAAUGAUAUAUAGUUUUCAGAGACGAGGGGACACAGUGUGCGUCAGUCACAGCAAAUUAUGUAAAACUGUAGCAAAGAUGUUCAGUCAUCAAUCGUCGAAUUGUAAUCUUUUCGCCAGAAAGCGGUGACCUUCCUUGUUGGGUGAGACACAUCUUCAUCGACAUGACUAGCUCCUCUCAGAGUGCCGUGUAUGUGUUUUUACCCAGAAUGCUUUCUUGGAGGUGGAAGGCUGUGUUUAUCCCCUUGAUAUUAACAUGUUAGAAAUGUAAAAGCUUUAUUCAUUAUGAGAGGGGAUUCUCAGACAUGGCUGGGGAUGUGUCUAACCUGUGUCGGCACGCUUCUGACGACGACUGGUAAACUGUAGCUUCAAAUUAGCAUCGUAGUGGUAGGCAUAGAAUGUAGAAUAGAGUUAAAGUCAUUGAUAAAAGUGGAAAAACCUAUACUGUAAUGUAGAUAAAUACCUCAAGGUUUGGAAUGCAGAACAUCUUGUUAGAAUAUCUCUAAUGCAAAUUAAGCCAUAAUGCAUACAUAUAUAGGCCUAUAUAUACAUAUAUAGAGUUAUUUAGAAAUUUAGAAGCAAUAAAAAUGUUAUGCAUGAUUUAGUGCCAGGAUGAUUAUUGUUUCUGUGGAGUGGCAACUCUUAGCAAACUGUAAUUGUGGUUGAAAUUUUGUAGGCAGGCAACUGCUUUGUGUAUAUCUGACCUUAGAAUAGAUAGGGGAAUUAGAAACUCUGGGAGAUAUAGGGGAUUAUGUGCCAAUUGUUAAUGGACACAUUUUUUUUUUUGCACUGUCUUUUUGACAGACCACAUUAUUCCAGUGAAUUAACUUGCACAAUGAUUUCACCGCAGACUUAUGAACAUCAGCAUAAUUCUUUGAAUAUGGAAAUGUAAUCAUCCUGGGUGAAUACAGUGUGACAUCUGUAAGACAUUAAUAAGCAGUGGGUAGAUUUUUUGAUAACCUUGCAGUUUUUCAUUUGUGUGUUGCAUUAUUAAACAAAAAGAGAAGGUGUGUAGUGGGAGUGCAGCCCUUGCAUCUUACAUUGAGAGGCCGUCCAACAGUACACCAAAGUUUUCAUCACAGAUCACAGCUUGGUGUACCGUUGGGAUGGAGCUCAACAGAACAGAUUGUUCUGAUGUUUAAUGCAUGUUUACGUGGCUAAAUGUUGUUUAGCUGGAUGAAACUAAUCACAUGCACAAAUAUAUGAAUAUAUAUGCAUUUUAUUAUGAUUGAAAGCAAUAGGAUUUAUGUAGUGAUCUUACAUUGCACUUAAUUAUUAUCAUUUUUUUUGUCUUAAGGAUUUAGUUCUGACACAAAACUGUAUGUCAGCCGUCACCACAGUAACAGAGGGCCUGUGGAGGCUGGUGUGUGGAAACAUGCUCUUUACUGAGUUAAGGUGGUUACAAACACUUUAGAACAAACAGCUAUGUACUAUGUACUUGUAAUCAGUUUACUGCUAGUGAGGAUCAGCAUAUCGGUUGUAAAGUAGGAUGGAUUUCAUGUUUACUAAAUCUUUCACAGUACUGUCUUUUCACACAUCUCUAACACUUUGUGUGGGUGUGGGGGUGGGGGAGGGGGAAUUGGGGGAUACUGUGGCUACAUCUGUACAAAUUGAAUUUAUGCACAGAAUUUAUGCUAAAGAACUAAAGGAUGCUAAUGAGAGCCCUGUUCAGUGCAUGAGAAGCAAAAUAGGAAACGUAGCAAAGCAUGCAAUAUUCUAGUAUUUGAAAACCAUGAUUGCUCUUAAAAGUUGACUGUCACUUGUAAUAAGAAAUGUUUGAAUAAAAUAAUAGGAGAUUU